AGGGCGGUCUGGCCGGGCCGCAUAGUUCCUGAGGAGUCACUGGGAAGCCCGCAGGCAGGGCUUCGGCUGCGGAGCGCUGUGUGGGCCAGCGCAUCGCUUCACAGGCGUCCCGUGUUGCCCAGCCCGGGCGAGUGUCCCUUCCUGCCAGGCCGGUGAGCAAAGGGCGCCCCGGCGCCGCCUCUGUCACCACACGAGCCGCGCUGAGGGCAAGCGCUCCGGCUGCGAGGAGGCAGGACAGCCUGCCAGGAGUGACACAGCUCCCAUCACCUGAUUAAAAAAAAAAAAACAACCUAAACGUACUAAGCUUUCAGUGAUUUCCAAGAAUUCUCCAAUUCUUGGAACUCCUCUACGUCUCCGAAAAAUUGUCACUCAGAUGAAAAACCAGCAUUUUGUUAGACAAAAUUACACGGAAAGUACUUUAAGGUAGUCCAUUGGUGGACAUACACAUCUGCUUCUUGAAGAGUCAACUCUCAACUUUUGUAGUUAAAUCCAAGGAGGUUUCAGAGGGUUUACAGUGUUGCAGCUGAGGUCUGAGGUCUGCCACUCACCCUACCGUACGGAAGAAGAACAGAAGCAAAGAUAUACUGAGAAAAAAAAGUAAUUAUUAAAGUGCUAGCUAAGGAGCAAGUAAACCUGGGUGCCAUGGUACUAGAGAGUGGUUUCAGCAUCACAAUUUCGAAUGAAAACAGCUUUUUCACUCGACACCUUUCAGACAAAACUUCCAGGUUAGAAGUUUGCAGUUAAGUAUUACAGCGCCAGUUUCACCAGUGCCCAAGCCUUGUGAAAAUACAGCUGCAAGUUCUAAUUAUUAGAUACUUAAUUAUCUGUGUACCCCAAAAAUGCUGUUAAUUUUACCUCUCGAGCUUUUAUUAGGCAACCACAUUUUUGCAUUUGCCUUUUUUUGACAUUCUAAGGAAAUUUAUUGUGUUCUCGCUUGUCUUUUUAGUAAUGCUUUUGUAGCAUCUAUCUCAGACAAGGAAUUGUCCUUUCCAAUUAUUUGCUAAGGGGCUGAUAUGUUUCCAAACCAAGUGAGUGCACAGAUGUGAUUCAGGGACCCAUGUGAUUUGCCCAUGCCACUGGGCCAAUGGCAGAAGACUAUAAAGGUCUGCUCAGCAUUUGUCUUUAAAAAACGGGUGUCAGACCCUCACAUGGAACUUUCUGAAAGAAUUGCCCUCAGCACAUUUAUACCUGUACAGUUGUGUAUCUUCCCACACACAGUGCCUCAGCCAGAGUUUUACUUACUUAGUUUCCUUGACCACAAUACUGGAUCACAAGAACUGAUACAAUUUUUUUCAGUGCAUUUUUUUGUGAGAGGGCAAGGAAUGGGAGAAAUGAACAUUAAUCAUAUACCCAGUUGUUCUUCUUUCUGUUUGCAUUACAUCCAGAAAAAUUGCAAUACACACAAGAUCAUUUUAAGUCAUGUUGUGCUAUUAGGGGUUUAGGGGCUUUUCUUGACAUUUUUUGUUUUGUGUCUAAGUUAUAUCAUCAGUACCAUACAAACCCAUAUCAUGUUUUAUUCUUUGUUAGAAAUAAGGUAGUAUAAUUUGAUAGAUGGUAUUUUACUCUUUGUUAGAGAUCAAGUAGCAUAAUAUAUCAUAUUUUAAGAAAGCUCUCAAGUCUCUAUCUACAGCAUUUAGUUCUCUGAUGAGCAUGGAAUGACAACUUUCUAACAGUACAGUAAAAAUGUCUUACAAAAAUCUAGCAGGAAAUUGCAUCUUACUAAUUUUGGUGUAAUUCAGAUAUGACAUAAGGCAGAGUACUAUUCUAAGACUUGUUGGUAAGACUGAGUUUCAAAAAGUCUACUGAUAGGCCUGAAAACUGCAGGGGUUUUAUCUGAUAAUUUCCUCUUCCUUUGUAUUUCUAUGUUGCUGUCAUGAAUAAGUGUUAGGCAGGUUUUUUUUAGUAGAUCAAGACAAAAUUUCAGUCCAGAAAUUAAUUAUAAAUAGGAGCUGCAUGACUUCUGUUAUAUUGUCAGAAAGAUAUUAGGGCUUUUGUAUCCUAAAAUAUGUUUAACCAUACAAGAAGAUCAUUCAUAGUAAAUAUGCUAAGAAUACCUUCCAGCUCAUAUUAUUUUAAAACCCUUUUAAAAGCCUGGCUUCCAGCGAUUAAUAUCGACCUGAUGUGUUUUUUUGUUUUUAACAUCUGUCCUUAAGAAUAACCCUGUAAGUCUGUGUUUAAGUAAAGAUGGAAUAAUAUCAUCAAACUGUACAGGAAGUAAUCCUUUGGAUAUAAAUAUAUCCCAGAUUUCCACAC